rnacentral:rRNA from 1 species
UAGCGAGGAACAAUUGGAGGGCAAGUCUGGUGCCAGCAGCCGCGGUAAUUCCAGCUCCAAUAGCGUAUAUUAAAGUUGUUGCAGUUAAAAAGCUCGUAGUUGAAUUUCUGAUUAUGGAUGUAGCGGUUUCCGUUACAUUUGUAGUCAUCCACAUGAGAACCUUUCUCGGCCUUCACUGGUCGGUUGGGGGAUCAUGUACUUUACUUUGAAAAAAUCAGAGUGUUUCAGGCAGGCGUUUGCAUGAAUACACAAGCAUGGAAUAAUGGAAUAGGACUAGGGUCCAUUUUAUUGGUUAUUGGACCAUAGUAAUGAUUAAUAGGGACAGUUGGGGGCGAUUAGUAUUUAAUUGUCAGAGGUGAAAUUCUUGGAUUUAUUAAAGACUAACUUAUGCGAAAGCAUUUGCCAAGGAUGUUUCAUUAAUCAAGAACGAAAGUUAGGGGAUCAAAGACGAUCAGAUACGUCCUAGUCUUAACUAUAAACUAUACCGACUAGGAUUGGUUGGGUCAUUAGAGCCAAUCAGCACC